rnacentral:ncRNA from 1 species
ACCUGGGCUGCCAUUUCGCGAUCGGAGAGACCACCGCAAAUCUGAAUAAUACGGUCAGACAGCGUCGAUUUACCGUGGUCGAUGUGAGCGAUGAUCGAAAAGUUACGAAUAUUCUUCAUAGAGUGAGAUUUUAUGCCUUACGAGUAACUAAGAGGCCUGUUCGCGCCUGACGUCAAUGUACUGAAACGCCGCAUUCUACACUACAACCACAACGCGGGGAAAUGCUCAAACCGCCCACACUUUGUAAGCGGUAACAGGCAGGAUCAGGGACGGCUUUCGGCGGAUGCGUCAUCGACGCGAAUAAGGUUCGGCGGCAGGCCGACGCUAAGGAUUAUUGGCUGCCAUUCGCUACGGGUGGCAAGCUUUGGCGAGAGACCACGCGCCAGCAGAAAACCGCCGAUACCGCCCAGCACGGCGCCGCUAAACGCCGCCAUAUCGUUGCCGAACAGCGUCUGGAACAGCGCGCCCAUUACAAACAGGCCAAGCAGAGGCGUCAUAUAGACUAAUACUGCAGAGCCAAGCAGGCUGCUCUCCGCAAUACCCAGCUCCACUUUCUGCCCCGGCUCCAGCGGCUCAGCGCAGGGUACAGCGAUGGUGUGCGUAGUUUGCGGGCCAAGCUUGUUGAGUACGCGGCUGCCGCAGCCGGCACGCGAGGCGCAGCUGCUGCAUGAGGCUUUCACGUCACACUCGACCAGCGCCUGGCCAUGCUGCCAGGAGACGACGGUUGCCCACUCUUUAAUCAUUGCGCAGCCCUGAAUUUGACGUUAUCCGCAAUGCGU